rnacentral:rRNA from 1 species
UACGUAGGUGGCGAGCGUUGUCCGGAUUUACUGGACGUAAAGAGCGCGCAGGCGGUCGUUCAAGUCGCGUGUGAAAGCCCCCGGCUCAACUGGGGAGGGUCACGCGAUACUGAUCGACUCGAAGGCAGGAGAGGGAAGUGGAAUUCCCGGUGUAGUGGUGAAAUUCGUAGAUAUUCGCAAGAACACCAGUGGCGAAGGCGGCUCACUGGCCCGAUACUGACGCUGAGGCACGAAAGCGUGGGGAGCAAACAGG